rnacentral:lncRNA from 1 species
GUGCUGACCUUUCCCUCUUCAAGAAGAGGAUGUGGAAACACCAGCAUCAAACAAAAGGCACAUUGAAAGCCCUAUCUAUCUGCCUAGGAGCGUGUGCAAGGAGAUGGUGUUGUCCUCUGAGUUUUAUGGUUUUGGUUGUUUUGUUUUUCUCCAAAGGACAGAAGCAUCCCUGGCCCAGAGUCACACAGUUAGGAGACCUAGUUUUCUCAUAUGAAUCAGAAGUUUAGACUUGGGAACUUGGUGGCUGGGGCUGGGGGAGGAGCUAUAGAGUUUCCAAGACUUGAGCUGCUGUGGUUGUAAGACUUUCUGAGUAGUGCUCACAGGCUCACAGAGGGGACUGGACUUAGGAAAAAAGUUUGAAUAAAUAACCUUGUCUGUGCA